GAUGAACGCUGGCGGCGUGCCUAAUACAUGCAAGUCGAACGCAUAGCGAAAGGUGCUUGCACCUUUCAAGUGAGUGGCGAACGGGUGAGUAGCACGUGGACAACCUGCCUCAAGGCUGGGGAUAACAUUUGGAAACAGAUGCUAAUACCGAAUAAAACUUAGUGUCGCAUGACACAAAGUUAAAAGGCGCUUCGGCGUCACCUAGAGAUGGAUCCGCGGUGCAUUAGUUAGUUGGUGGGGUAAAGGCCUACCAAGACAAUGAUGCAUAGCCGAGUUGAGAGACUGAUCGGCCACAUUGGGACUGAGACACGGCCCAAACUCCUACGGGAGGCUGCAGUAGGGAAUCUUCCACAAUGGGCGAAAGCCUGAUGGAGCAACGCCGCGUGUGUGAUGAAGGCUUUCGGGUCGUAAAGCACUGUUGUAUGGGAAGAACAGCUAGAAUAGGAAAUGAUUUUAGUUUGACGGUACCAUACCAGAAAGGGACGGCUAAAUACGU
rnacentral:rRNA from 1 species